rnacentral:rRNA from 1 species
UUUUCAGUGUCGCAGCGAAAGCGUUAAGCACACCGCCUGGGGAGUACGACCGCAAGGUUAAAACUCAAAUGAAUUGACGGGGACCCGCACAAGCAGUGGAGCAUGUGGUUUAAUUCGAAGAUACGCGCAGAACCUUACCAACACUUGACAUGUUCGUCGCGACUUUAAGAGAUUAAAGUUUUCGGUUCGGCCGGACGAAACACAGGUGCUGCAUGGCUGUCGUCAGCUCGUGUCGUGAGAUGUUGGGUUAAGUCCCGCAACGAGCGCAACCCUUACUUUUAGUUGCCAUCAUUCAGUUGGGCACUCUGAAAGAACUGCCAGUGAUAAGCUGGAGGAAGGUGGGGAUGACGUCAAGUCCUCAUGGCCCUUACGUGUUGGGCUACACACGUGCUACAAUGGCACUCACGAUAGGAAGCAAGAGGCGACUCCAGCAAAUCCUAAAAAAGUGCCUCAGUUCGGAUUGUACUCUGCAACUCGAGUACAUGAAGCUGGAAUUGCUAGUAAUCGCGGAUCAGCGCGCCGCGGUGAAUACGUUCCCGGGUCUUGUACACACCGCCCGUCACACCAUGGAAGUUGGUUACACCUAAAGGCAAAAUGUUAACUUUCGAGAAACAUUUGACCACGGUACGACCAGCAACUGGGGUGAAGUCGUAACAAGGUAGCCGUAGGGGAACCUGCGGCUGGAUCACCUCCUU